CCGGCACGGGUGAGUAACACGUAUGCAAUCCACCUGUAACAGGGGGAUAACCCGGAGAAAUCCGGACUAAUACCCCAUAAUAUGGGCGCUCCGCAUGGAGAGCCCAUUAAAGAGAGCAAUUUUGGUUACAGACGAGCAUGCGCUCCAUUAGCCAGUUGGCGGGGUAACGGCCCACCAAAGCGACGAUGGAUAGGGGUUCUGAGAGGAAGGUCCCCCACAUUGGGACUGAGACACGGCCCAA
rnacentral:rRNA from 1 species